rnacentral:rRNA from 1 species
GUGCCAGCAGCCGCGGUAAUACGUAGGGGGCAAGCGUUGUCCGGAUUUACUGGGCGUAAAGAGCGCGUAGGCGGAAGUUUAAGUGUGGCCUGAAAGCCCCCGGCUCAACCGGGGAUCCGGGUUGCAAACUGGACUUCUUGAGGGCGAUAGAGGAGUGUGGAAUUCCUGGUGUAGCGGUGAAAUGCGUAGAGAUCAGGAGGAACACCCGUGGCGAAGGCGGCACUCUGGAUCGACCCUGACGCUGAGGCGCGAAAGCGUGGGGAGCGAACGGGAUUAGAUACCCCUGUAGUCC